AUCUUUUAAUCUCUAAGUGCAUAUCUUAACUUUACGAAGUGGAAAAUACUGUUAUUCACAAGUUUGGAUGCAUUAGUGAAGGAGUUUGUGUCUGGUAGUAACGAUGAGAAGAAAACAAUCUUCUCCAAGAUUUAAGAGGAAGUAGAGAAGCUCACAGGUUCAACUGCGAGGUAUGGAAAGAUAUACUUGAAAGCUGGUAAAAGCUAUUUAGAGAAAUGUGUUGAUUAUCCCAAGAAGGAAAUUUAGCGGCUGCAUCGUAUUCUUGAGAAGUCAAGAAGCCUAACAAAAGCUGAUGAAUUCAUGUUGAAGAAUAACAUCCUAUCAACAUUUGCAUCUUCCUAGAUCAUCGUAUGUCCGUGUAGUGCUGUAGCGGCAUGGUAAAGUUUCGUUGACAUUUUUGAGGACUAGUUUUGCUCCUGGUGGUGGGAUUAUCAUAGUGUUUAAUGUUUAAGCUUUUGAGGAUCUUUCAACAGUAAAUUGUUGGACCAUGACUUGAGUUGAGCACAUAUGCGUGUAGCGGCAACAGUAACUAGUAAAGAGCUUAUGUUAUUUUUCUCUUUUUAUCUAGUUAGAACAAUGAUUUUAUUCGACAUUUCGUUGCAUUGGUGCC